AUAUAAAACAAAAAUCGAAGUUUACCAAUUCCUGAGACUAUUUUAGGAUCCUUAAACAAGAAAGAGUCUUAAACCAGACGUCAGAAACUGGAGAGGAUUUCGGCCACUGCAAGCAAGAAAGUCCUCAGACGUCUGUCCAGAUGUGAAAAGAUGAGGAAAGUCAAGGUCUAGAAGGCCCCAGGCAAUGCUGCAUGAGGGACUGGAAGGUGACAAACAUGCGUCUAACUCCAUCGCUAUCCAGAAUGUCAUGAGGAGAACAUAUCGAGUCCUGUUUCAGGGGAAUGGGAAUGUGAACAGGCAGAAUAAAGAAUUGGCAGAUGGAUUGGAGGAAAGGAAGUACAAAUAUCGUAGUAGAUAUGGAAUAGUCAAGAAAAAAAAGAAAAAAAAAAAAGUUGAGUAGAGAAGGUACAGAAUAAGUAGAUGGGUUAAAGACUAGGCAGAUCUGAUAAGAAACGAAAUAAUUUAAGGAAGAAAAAAAAGCAUAUGUAUAAAUGGAUGAACAAUGGGAACAAGAAGAAAAUGAACAUAUUAGAAAAGCUAGGUAGAUCUAAUAAAGGUGAUGAGGAGAAAGGUGGGUAGUACGUUGGAGGAGACAAAAAUGGUGGAAUGGGACUAAGACAAAGAAUGAGCAGAUAGAGUGGUGAAUGAAAGUAACUCAACCGAUGGAUACCCGAAGGACAAGUAUCCUAGUAAAGAGAGCAGAAAGGUCUAGAAGGAAGAAUUAAAGAGAUGAAAGGGUGAAAAAGUUGGGUAGAGUAGGUGAAAGGAGAAAAGAAAGGCAAAUAGAAGCAGAGGAAGGACAGAUUUACUUGGUAACGAAAGAUAGCCAUGUGAGAAAGGAUAAUAAGGUGGAGCAAAGGAAGACAUAUAAGAUGGGUAAGUGUGUAUGACUGACAGUAAAAUACCCCCAUGAGUUUUAUUUAACCAAUCUGCAAGCCAGAAAUCAAUCAUUAAACCAACUAUCACACUAGGAUCAUAUGGAGGGAGAACACAGUAAUACAGACAGAAGAUAAGUAACAGGAACUGUAAACGUUGCCUUAUGGCUUAUAGUACGAUGAUGCACUGCUAGCAGCCAGGAAGUACUCUAGACGCGUGGCAUAGCUUGUUGUAAGAAUACAUAUCGGGAAUCAGUUAUCUGUCCUUAAUGCAUGUGGACAGGCCCGGACUGGCCAUCGGGCAUACUGGGCAAAUGCCCGGUGGGCCGCGAUGGCCGUGGGGCCGAGGCCGGCAGGGGAUCUCCCCGGCCGGCCUCUGCAGGGCCAGCACUAUCCGAGCGCCGGCCCUGCUAUGUGUCUCCGUGGGCCGGUGGGGGAGAUCAAAGAUCUCCCUCACCGGCCCACAGACAGGGAGAUGCGGCCGCCGGCUGGGAGAGGGAGGGAGGCAGGGAGGAGAGGACCGGCGGAGCUCUAACAAGCAGGCUGGGGAGGGAGGGAGGCAGGGAGGAGAGGACCGGCGGAGCUCUAACAAGCAGCUCCGCCGGGUCCUCUCGCGGGAUUCUGAGCGUUGCCGCGGUUACCGCGGCAACGCUCAGAUCUCGCGAGAGUGAACUCUAACCUGCAGGUUAGAGUUCACUCUCACCACUGGACCACCAGGGAAGGCAGCAUGGCUCCCCCGGCAAAACGGAUCUCUUCCCCCCCCCUCCCAGGAUAAAGGUAAGAAGGGAGGGGGUGGGGAAAUAUAUAUUUUUUAUUAUUAAAAUAAAUAUUUAAAUAAAAAAUACAUUCACACUCUCACACACACAGCACCCCCAGACACACACAGCACCCCUAUACACAGCACCCAGACACACACAGCACCCAGACACAGCACCCAGACACACACAGCACCCCCAGACACACAGCACACAAGAGGGGAUAUAUAUAUAUAUAUAUUUUUUUAAUUAAUAAAAUAAAUAUUUAAAUUUAAAUAAAAAAUACAUUCACACUCUCACACACACAGCACCCCCCAGACACACACAGCACCCAUACACAGCACCCAGACACACACAGCACCCAGACACACACAACACCCAGACACACACAACACACAGACACAGCACCCCCCAGACACACACAGCACCCAGACACAGCACCCAGGCACACACAGCACCCCCAGACACACACAGCACCCCCAGACACACACAGCACCCCCAGACACACACACAGCACCCAGACAAACACACUUUUGGAGCACACCACAGUUGCACCCAGACACACACAUUUUGAGCACACAGCACCCCAGACACAGCACCCAGACAGACACACACAGCACACAAGUGGGGAUAUAUAUAUAUAUUUUUUUAUUAAUAAAAUAAAUAUUUAAAUUUAAAUAAAAAAUACAUUCACACUCACACACACCGCCCCCAGAGACACACAGCGCACCCAGACACACACACAGCACCCCCAGACACAGCACCCAAACUCACACUGCACCCCCAGACACACACAGCACCCUCACUCACACUGCACCCCCAGACACACACAGCAUACUCCCACACAUAUACACCACACACAUAUAUAUAUAUAUAUAUAUAUAUAUAAAAUAACCCUCAGUGAGUUAACAGACAAAGAAAAUUAGAAACCUAGAAUGUGACAGCAGAUAAAAACACCCUCACACACAGCACCCCUCUUACAUACACACACUGCGCCCCUCACACAUAAAAUAAGUCCAAAUAUAUAUAUAUACACACACACACACACACACACUACAGCACCCCUCACACUGCACCACUACACACAUUACGCUCCAGAUACACACUAGAUCCCUUACCCUAUAUGCACUCUUAAUCCUCUACACACACUCACACACACACACACACACACACACACAGGGUCCUUUACACAGUAGAUCUCCUACACACACACACACACUACAUUCCUUGUCAGCAAACACAUACAACAUUCUCUAAACACACCCUCUCUGCAACCCCUACACACACUACGUCACCUAUACACAUACACUUCAGCCCGUAUGCACUCUCUCGCUGUAUCCCACACUCUCUACAGCCCCUAGCCACACAUAUUACACCACAAACACAAAUUAAAUUGACCUAUUUAUACAAUACCACAAUACACACACACAAUCCCACAAGCAGGCUCCAAACAUAUGCACCAUGCACUUUCCUGGCCCUUUUGUCCUCUGGUAUCCCACUUGUGGAGACACCAGAGACAAUUUAAAAGCAAACACAGCGCAAGCAUGUUAUUAAAUUUGCUUGCGCUGCGCAGAAUAAAUUCAGGGCCUUUUUCUAGUGCCAGAGCUCUUUAGCAGGGCUCUGGGCAUUGAACCAACAUGCUCACUUUGAGAGGGGACAUGUUGUCAUUAGUGAUGACAAAACACACACUUUCUGGCCCUGCCCCCUUCUUAGGGGGCCUCUCUGAUUGAAAAAUGCCCGGGCCUAAUUUUUUCCCCAGUCCGGCCCUGCAUGUGGACAUCACACCCACAGUCUGACAUUUCUACAUCCUGAUACAGCUUCCCAAAAAUUCCAGCAGCUUCCUUUUAACUAACCAAAAUGUAAGGAAUUUAAAUAAGAGAAAAUGGAAUGACUGCUUCAGCUCCCUAACAACCUACAAUGUAAAAGAUAUAAGAUAUUAUACCGCAAUAUUUCGGCAAAGGAUGAAACACUAACAGUUUUUAUUCACAAAAUGCAAACCGUUUGCAAAAUAAGUCCAAAUGGGAAAAAAAAGAAAAAUCUGAUCUGUAAAAAUUCUCUGAGCCAGUCAUAGCUUGACUAUUUAACCUUAGUUUUGCCAUUCAUACUUUACAAGGGACACUAUAGGCACCCAGAUCACUUCAUCUCACUGAAACGGUUUGGGUGCAGUGUCCUUAUCCCCCUUCGUCCUGCAAUGUAAG